UACGUAGGGUGCGAGCGUUGUCCGGAAUUAUUGGGCGUAAAGGGCUCGUAGGCGGUUUGUCACGUCGGGAGUGAAAACUCGGGGCUUAACCCCGAGCCUGCUUCCGAUACGGGCAGACUAGAGGUAUGCAGGGGAGAACGGAAUUCCUGGUGUAGCGGUGAAAUGCGCAGAUAUCAGGAGGAACACCGGUGGCGAAGGCGGUUCUCUGGGCAUUACCUGACGCUGAGGAGCGAAAGCGUGGGUAGCAAACAGG
rnacentral:rRNA from 1 species